AUCCAGCUGACGAGUCCCAAAUAGAACGAAACGCGUGUCAAACUGGAU
rnacentral:hammerhead_ribozyme from 1 species